UACGAAGGGUGCAAGCGUUAUUCGGAAUCAUUGGGCGUAAAGGGUGCGUAGACGGUAUGUUAAGUCUAUUGUUAAAUCUUCUGGCCUAACCAGAAAUCUGCAGUAGGUACUGAUGUGCUAGAGGGUGGAAGAGAGAAGUGGAAUUCUCGGAGUAGCGGUAAAAUGCGUAGAUCUCGAGAGGAACACCAAUGGCGAAGGCAGCUUCUUGGUCCAUUCCUGACGUUGAGGCACGAAAGCGUGGGGA
rnacentral:rRNA from 1 species